rnacentral:rRNA from 1 species
AGCUUGAUUGCAAGACAUACAGGUCGAGCAAGGAUGAAAAUCGGACUUAGUGAUCCGGUGGUUCUGCGUGGAAGGGCCAUCGCUCAACGGAUAAAAGCUACCCUGGGGAUAACAGGCUUAUCUCCCCCAAGAGUCCACAUCGACGGGGAGGUUUGGCACCUCGAUGUCGGCUCAUCACAUCCUGGGGCUGUAGUAGGUCCCAAGGGUUGGGCUGUUCGCCCAUUAAAGUGGUACGCGAGCUGGGUUCAGAACGUCGUGAGACAGUUCGGUCCCUAUCCGUCGCAGGCGUAGGAAAUUUGAGAAGACCUGUCCGUAGUACGAGAGGACCGGGAUGGACGUACCUCUGGUGUACCAGUUGUCCUGCCAAGGGCAUGGCUGGGUAGCUAUGUACGGAAUGGAUAAGCGCUGAAAGCAUCUAAGCGCGAAGCCAACUUCAAGAUAAGAUUUCCCACCGCAAGGGUAAGACCCCAGAAAGACUAUCUGGUUG